CGAGAUGGAUGAAUCCAGGACCAAGGUGCUGGAUUACGCGAUGAAUACUGCCGGAUGAAAAUCAGCUGCAGCUCCCUUAUACAUUGAUCAGUAAAUGCUAGAUGAUGAUCCACAUGUAAACCAAUGGCGCUGAUAAGCAUACCACUGAACGUCAUGCAUCAAAGAAGCUUUUCGGUAUGUUCCUCCUUCUCUCGUUACCUCCACGGCUCCACCCACAAACCCUAGCCCCCCAAAUCCCAUAGUCGAUGCACUUCUCCCUCCCUCGUCAGACAGCCGCCACAUCCCUCCCUCGUCUCUCCCUCGUCAACACAGCCACGCCUCCAACCUCCCUUCCUCGUUACCACGGCAAACCAGCUCCCAUGGCGGCGACAGGGGCGAGGCGGGCGCGGGGGCUGCGGGCGGAAGCAACAGGGGUUGAUGGAGGGUCGGGGAGGGGCGGUUGUAGGCGGGUUCGGCGGUUGGGGGCGAGCACCGGACAGGCAGAGGGAGCGUCUUGGUCGAGGGACAGCGAGGCUCGUCGGCUGGGCGACUUCGAGCGCUGGACAGGCAGAGGGAACGACUUGGUCGAGGGACGGCGAGGCUCGCUGGCUUGGCGACGCGAGUGCCAGACAGUCAGAGGGGCUUGGCCGAGGGAUCAAGGAUUCGUGCAACUCUUCCAAUAGGAGGAUAGAACACAUGCACAAAACUUCGAAAGCCACAAAACCUGGGCGGAAAUCAUGGACUACACGUUGGUCAAUAUUGUGCAGGCAACCAGUUGCCACAAUCGAACACAAUAAGCAUCACGGGAGCCUCCUCGUCGUCGGCGAUUCUCCGGCGCCUUUGUCUGGUCAUCUCUGGCUCCUGCCGUGCUCUCUGGUGCUCCUUUGCCUCAUGGAUGGCGCUCCCAUGCCUCGGACGCACGCCCCCUCUCCCCCGAGCUCCAGAUGGGAAGCAGCGGCCCCCCCUCUCCCCCGAGCUCGGGAUCCAUUGCAGCAACGGCAAGGCAGUGAAAGUUUGCAGUCGAUGCCAUCUAAGUAGGAUUCUGGGUUGAUUUCAGAGGAGAUCAAUUAUUGUGAGAAGAUGAAGAAGCUGAGAGUUGAUACGGACUAUUUGUGAAAGCAAGUUUAGGAGCUCAAAGCCAACAACAAGUCAACAACCAAGGCUUUGAAAAAGACAUCGACCCGCGACACCGGUAAGGCCACAACAUCCAUUACUGCUAUGACUGUUGACUGAGGUGGGAAAGCAUGGAGCCUUCCUUCUACUGAUUUGUUGAGCCAAUAUAUCGAGGCUUUCCUUUGCUGUUGAAAUCUCUAUAGAAUUUCAUAGAAGAUGAUUGGUCGGAGUAUGCAUAUCUUUGGACCCUUCCUCCUUGCGGGCCUCUCCACUAAAGACUGGGAGGCAAGAACCAGCGCCACCGCCAUGUCUGUUGGUGAUGCUCACGCUGGAAACCAGAGGUAGCAUCUUGGUCUUGUCCAUGCGAGCACCACAUCUCUGACAAUGCUGCCGCGACCAGAGGGCGGCGAGCUGAUCCCCCAUGGCUCCUCGCCGACGUAUGACAACACCCACCUCCAUGCUAAUCGAGCUUUUUGACUUGUCCAGCAUGAUCUGAGACGCCGUCUCCACUUCAGUUCAUUGGAGAUUGUAAUAUUGAUCUUAGUUCAGUUCAGUCUAUUAUGUGACCUCACUUUGUUAUCUAUGAUUUCCUUCAUUUCUUUGUUUUGGCACAUGUCCAUUAAUUUGUAUAGUGGAGCGGAUGACCAAAUUAUUGGAACCUUCCCAUGCUUUCCAGGGAAGUUGUUUGUUAGCUCUGCCCCAAACGUUGACAAGCCAGAUUUGGGCUUAUUUCUUCAGCUUUGCUGCACUGCAGCCUGAUAGUAUUUUUUUGUUGCUUGAUGCUUCAUUUUCCUACUUCUUCCUCUUAAUGUGACCUUUUGAUGCAGGGUGAUGUUUCUUUAUAUGCCCCUCGAGGGAUGAGGCCGGCAAGCCGGUGAAUGCUUAUCACAACAAGCACAUGCUGUCGGGUUUGUUGGGUAUGCUUCCAGGAACAUGGGCUUAUGUUAGUGCUGGUGCAUUUGGGAGAUCUAUAAUUGCUGCAAAGAAUCUUGUAGCUGUGGCGGCGGCCACACUUUCAGUUCCUGCUUUCAGGGCACCUACUACAAAUAUACCUUCUGGAUCAGAGUCCUCCCAUCUGGGCACUGCAGUCGUCCUUGCACCGUCACACACAGCGUCGGAGACACGAACGAGGUCGAGCAGUCCGUGUCUUCGUCCUCUUCCCUUGGCGUGUGGAACCUGAUAUAAACAAGAGGCCAAACAAUAUGUGGCAUCUUCAUCGUCGUCCUCUCGUGUGGCACCGGAGAGAUGGACAAGGAGGCCAAUAGCUGGAAGUGCGGCAGACUGUAAUGCUUUGGUUGAUGAGGAAUUAUCUUUGUACAUAGUGGUUUGUUUGAUGGGACCCAUCUGGCACCGCCGAGCUUCCGCUCAAGCGGCGUGCCAUGGGGGCGCCCCAACCUCUAGUGUGUGUGUAUAUAUAUAUAUAUAUAUAUAUAUAUAUAUAUAUAUAUAUAUAUAGCAGGAGUCUCGGUGCUUGCUUUAUUAGGGUUCCUCUCUUUCACUCUCAUGCUCUCCAGAUCUAAAAAAUGCAUAGGUGGCCACACACACUCUUUCUCUGCUCAUGGCUGGUCACAAAUCCGGCGUAACCACCUCGACCAGGGAAGGGGUGUAGGUGCGUCGUCCAUGCAGUCGUCGACGGUGAGGGAGGAGACCAACAGCUGCCCGCGUGUUCUGAUCGACGGCCGUGCCAUUCUCUCCGAGAUAGCGUCGGAUCGGGAGGGCCUUCGACCCCUUCUUCCUCCCCGUGGUAUUGUGGCCAAGAUGCGGCCUCCAGACGUCGUCUUUGCCACGUGCCGACGACCCUCGGUGCAGGGACGAGCGAAAACAAUUGUAUCCUAGUCGGGAAUGCACUUUCUCCCAAUUCAUCCAUGGACGGAGGACUAGCUAGCAUGGCUGCAUGAAGGUUUUUGGGACAGGUGCACGAACAAAAGGCAUUAUGGUCUGCUUAUUUCUGCAAAUAGCAGUGCUUAAAUUUAGUAGAACUGCACAAAAAGUUUAGAUGUUCAAUACACUACAUGGUUCAGUUCAGCAUUCCAAUUAAGAACACAAUUAUAAUUGGUUAUUUUGAAAUGAAAGAACCUAACCUUGGAUGGUGGCAAUAUUCCAACUAAGAACACAAUUAUAAUUGGUUAUUUUGAAAUGAAAGAACCUAACCUUGGAUGGUGGCAACAAGAAAAACCAGAGUGAACUCCAGGAAAGUAAAGCCUGCCUAGGGAGGCCCUUUGCUCAGAGAAGCAUUGCUUGAUUUUUUUCUGAUUUGUAAACCUUUUCACAACUUUGUCUUUUGCUAUGAACUAGUAAAUAUUUGUUAUGUUCUAUGAAUCAUUGAGAUGUAUAAAAUUUCUUAACUUAUGCUUUUCAAGUAUUUUAUGAAGCUGAGUUUAAUGUGCAUGUUC